CUGAAGCACUUGCCAGUUUGUUGUACUAUGUUGUUGUUAGAAAGGAAAAAAGGUCUGUCUGUGGACCCCUGGGACUUCACCAUAUCCAAGCCCCUUGACUGUCAGAAGCCCCCUGGAACUUCACUGUAGCAUCACGCUUACCAAAAGACACAGAAAAUUCACCUCUGGAAUGAGGAGUGAAGAAUUCUUGAAUUUAAGUAAAACAAUACAGGCAAGUUUUAACUCAAUGCGAUGACAAAGAAAAGCUAACAGAAUCUUCCAAGCCCAAUGACUGAAAUGUGAUUCCCCUGGCUCUCUUUUUUGGAAAAUACCUGCGAUGAGUUCCAUGCUGGGAAAGAAAAGCUGUUGACAGGCAAAGCUUCUGACGGGCAAGGGGCUUUUUCAAGUGUUCUCAAAGGAGACAGUCGCCUCAAGCAGGCUGAGGCAGGGCUGCCAGGGCUCUAGGAAUAAGAGGUCCAGACCACAAAAGGGUCAUCUUUAACUGUGGAUUAGGCUGAGUGUCGAGCAACUUCCUCUGUGAGAGCAGUUAGCAUGCUCACAGACUUUUGGGCCAGGCAGAUAUGCAUGAGUCCUCUUCUGUCACUUACUGUGUGAUCUCGGACACGUUGCUUAACCUCUCAGAACAUCAGUGUUCUUAAGCAAAAUAAAUAAGAUAAUGCAUAUAAAGCAUGUAAUACAGUAUC